rnacentral:lncRNA from 1 species
AGGAUCUUCACUAAAGCGUAACAAAAGUGACCUUUGUUCCAGUUCCCAAUAAGUUCCUACAUCCAUCGGAGUCCUCUUCAUUGUUCAAAUCACUCCAUUCAACAAGUUUCUAGAAAAUUCCAAAUUCUCCCUCAUCUUCCUGUCUUCUUUUGAGCCCUUCACACUUUUCCAAACUCUGUCCAUCACCUGUUCUAAAGCCACUUCCACAUUUUCAGGUAUCUUUACAGCAAUGCCUCAUUCCUUGGUACCAAUUUUUUGUAUUAGUCCUUUCUCACACUGCUAUAAAGAAAUACUGGAGACUGGGUAAUUUGCAAGAAAAGAGGUUUAUUUGGCUUACAGUUCUAGAGGCUGUACAGGACGAAUUGCAGCUUCAGCGCUCAUUAUCUCAAGAACAGCAUCACCAGGAAUGGUGCUAAACCAUUCAUGAGAAACUGUCUCCAUAAUCCAAUCACUUCCCCCCAGGCCCUACUACCUUCAACACUGAGAAUUACAAUUCAACCUGAGAUUUAGGUGGGGACACAGAUCCAAACCCUAUCAACCUCCUGCAUCUGAGAGGUGAGGAUCUUGAUGAGAGUGGGUCAGAGGCAGAGGACAUGUUCUUGCUCUCACCAACAGAUCAGGUGCCACCACUGGGCAGGGCACAGCCUCAGUAGACACCAGGAAUAACAGUACCAGAAAAAUGGGGCCCUCAUGGAACUUAACGUCUCACUGCUGCACCAAACCAUGAUGGGAGACGCAGUAUGAAAAACCAAAAUUCUCACCGUGAUUUCUUCCUUUUCUGCUUUCUUCACCACCCUCUGCAAAAAUCAGUAAGCAAAACCAGACUAUUUACAG